AGACAAAUGAAACCCUAGAUCGACAUAGUACUCCCAUACGUUCAGCAACUCCCUCCCUGUCAAUGGCGUCACUGCCAGGAGCAUGCUCAGAUCUAUUUGCCGUUCCCCUCCUUCGCAUUUCAGCACCUAUUGAUCCGGAGCAGCUCCCAGGAGAAUCACAGCAGCUAGCAAUAGACGCAGAAGAGAUACGUGCCGUAUUUUCUCCAGCCGAAGAACAUUCCGUCCAUGACUAGCAUAAAGAACAGCCCGAUGAGGAUGAGGUGGCAAGCAUGGAAGUAACCCACAGCCACUUUUCUUCAUAUGCGGCAUGGUACAAACAAUAUGAGAAUUCACGGCACGGUUCUGAGGCAGUACCAGCGAUUGUCAAAAUACCUUACAGGAUGGUGUUGGAUGUUCUUUUAGAGACUCUGGGCCUUCCAGAAGUUGAGUACCGAACCAGAGUAUAUGAUGGCAGCAGGGUGUGUGUGACUGUAUUGUUCUAUAGAACCACAUCAUAUGUUGGGAAUGAUAUUCCUGGGGUACAAUUUGUUGAUCAAUCAAUGCCAGAAGACAGUGCUGCUAUGGAAGCAAUUGGAUACAUUAAAUGCACAGUGAAGACAGAGAUAAGAGACUAUAACUACAGCACCAUGAAGAAACUCGAGGAGGAAAAUCGGUCUCUAAAACAUGAGCUUUAUAUAUCUAGGUACAACAAGUAGAAGAUGAAGACAAAGAUCAGAUCCAUCAAGAACAAGCUAAUGAUUGUUACAUAUGAGAAGAAGCAAAACGCUAUGGGCUGGUUCGUCUUAACAAGGUACAUGCAUGGAUUAUAUGAUCAUAUAUUCAACGUGGCGGCAUUGAAUAUGUCAUAUGGGAAUGGACCCGUAGAUAAGAUUAUCAGUGACCCUCUUAUCAACAUAGAGAAGGUGGCGCAGAGACUCAAAUGUUGGGUGAUCAAGUCAGAAAAGAAGCUAAGAGCCAUCAGGAUGGGUUUUUAGAACCUGGGCCUUUCAAUCUAUAUUGUAUUCUGCCCCUUUUGCUUGUCGUAGCUGCAGAAGCAGAUGCAAUUGUAUAAUUAGCUUUCUCUUUAAACCAAGACUUGCGAAGCUAUGUGUGUAACAAGUAAUGGUACUUAUGUUAUAAGUAUUUAUUACAUAUGCAAUUCAUGUUUCUAUGGGCACGUGCUCUACGUCUACUGUUUAAUAUAUUCCUAUAUGAACGAUGUAGCCAC